rnacentral:rRNA from 1 species
UACGUAGGGUGCAAGCGUUGUCCGGAAUUAUUGGGCGUAAAGGGCGCGCAGGCGGCAUGGCAAGUCGAGUGUGAAAUCCCCCGGCUUAACUGGGGAAUGGCGCUCGAAACUACCGCGCUGGAGGGCGGGAGAGGGAAGUGGAACUCUCGGUGUAGGGGUGAAAUCUGUAGAUAUCGAGAGGAACACCGGUGGCGAAGGCGGCUUCCUGGCCCGUACCUGACGCUGAGGCGCGAAAGCGUGGGGAGCAAACAGG